rnacentral:rRNA from 1 species
AGCGGACGCUGGCGGCAGGCCUAACACAUGCAAGUCGAACGGACCCUUCGGGGUUAGUGGCGGACGGGUGAGUAACACGUGGGAACGUGCCUUUAGGUUCGGAAUAGCUCCUGGAAACGGGUGGUAAUGCCGAAUGUGCCCUUCGGGGGAAAGAUUUAUCGCCUUUAGAGCGGCCCGCGUCUGAUUAGCUAGUUGGUGGGGUAAUGGCCCACCAAGGCUACGAUCAGUAGCUGGUCUGAGAGGAUGACCAGCCACAUUGGGACUGAGACACGGCCCAAACUCCUACGGGAGGCAGCAGUGGGGAAUCUUGCGCAAUGGGCGAAAGCCUGACGCAGCCAUGCCGCGUGUAUGAUGAAGGUCUUAGGAUUGUAAAAUACUUUCACCGGUGAAGAUAAUGACUGUAGCCGGAGAAGAAGCCCCGGCUAACUUCGUGCCAGCAGCCGCCGUAAUAC